GCAUUUGUAGCUCAGUUGGAUAGAGCGUUACCUUCCGAUGGUAUAGGUCGUGGGUUCUAAUCCCUCCAAAUGCACCA
rnacentral:tRNA from 1 species